CCUGCUUUCCUGUCUCUGAGCCAGUGCUAUCAGUGUGAUUUUAGCCUUGCCUUGCCUGCAGCACUAGGGGGCUGGACUUUUCUUGUCGCUACUACCUGUCGUUUUAAGUCCACCUGAGGCAACUUCCAUUUAGCUGCUCAUUACCCAGGUAUAUAACACUGCAUCUCCCCGAGGGCAGUGUAAGUUCAUUGUUACCUGUUUCUCUAGCUGUUGCCUAUGUUUCCUUGAUUUCCAGGCUGAUUUGUUCUCCUGCUUUUGGAUUCUUCGUUAUUGUCUGUGCGCUGCCUGCCCUAACGUUUGGAACAGUG